GACGAACGCUGGCGGCGUGCCUAAUACAUGCAAGUCGAACGCACUGACGUCGACAGAAGGUGCUUGCACUGGAAGUUGAUUGACGUGAGUGGCGGACGGGUGAGUAACACGUGAGUAACCUGCCCUUAAGCGGGGGAUAACAUUUGGAAACAGAUGCUAAUACCGCAUAAAAGUUGAGAUCACAUGGUCUUAAUUUGAAAGACGGCCUUUGGCUGUCACUUAAGGAUGGACCCGCGGCGUAUUAGCUAGUUGGUGAGAUAAUAGCCCACCAAGGCGAUGAUACGUAGCCGACCUGAGAAGGUAAUCGGCCACAUUGGGACUGAGACACGGCCCAAACUCCUACGGGAGGCAGCAGUAGGGAAUCUUCCACAAUGGACGAAAGUCUGAUGGAGCAACGCCGCGUGAGUGAAGAAGGUUUUCGGAUCGUAAAACUCCGUUGUUGGAGAAGAACAGGGACUAGAGUAACUGUUAGUCCUUUGACGGUAUCCAACCAGAAAGCCACGGCUAACUACGUGCCAGCAGCCGCAGUAA
rnacentral:rRNA from 1 species